rnacentral:rRNA from 1 species
UCCGGAGGGUGCGAACGUUAUCCGGAAUCACUGGGUUUAAAGGGUGCGUAGGCGGCUCGGUAAGUCAGUUGGGAAAGUCCCUUGCUUAACGAGGGAGGUGCGAUUGAUACUGUCUAGCUUGAAUCGGGAUGAGGCAGACGGAAUGUGGCAUGUAGCGGUGAAAUGCAUAGAUAUGCCAUAGAACACCGAAUGCGAAGGCAGCCUGCUGGGCCUGGAUUGACGCUGAGGCACGAAAGCGUGGGGAGCAAACUGG